GCCUUUGGUGCAAAUGGUUUGCACUAGACUACUAACCUAAAGGCUGGUGAUUCAAGUUCACCCAGAGGCA
rnacentral:tRNA from 1 species